CUACGGGCGGCACCAGGCGAGAAAACUUUGCAAUGUGCGAAAGCACGACAAGGUUAAUCCGAGUGGUUUGUGCUAAACGAACCUUUUGACAGUCCUAGAAACACUGUUGAAUAAGGGGUGGGCAAGUUCUGGUGUCAGCCGCCGCGGUAAAGCCAGCACCUCAAGUGGUCAGGAUGAUUAUUGGGCCUAAAGCAUCCGUAGCCGGCUCUGUAAGUUUUCGGUUAAAUCUGUACGCUCAACGUACAGGCUGCCGGGAAUACUGCAGAGCUAGGGAGUGGGAGAGGUAGACGGUACUCGGUAGGAAGGGGUAAGAUCCUUUGAUCUAUUGAUGACCACCUGUGGCGAAGGCGGUCUACCAGAACACGUCCGACGGUGAGGGAUGAAAGCUGGGGGAGCAAACCGGAUUAGAUACCCGUGUAGUC
rnacentral:rRNA from 1 species